rnacentral:rRNA from 1 species
UACGGUGGGGGCAAGCGUUGUUCGGAAUUACUGGGCGUAAAGGGCUCGUAGGUGGCCAACUAAGUCAGACGUGAAAUCCCUCGGCUUAACCGGGGAACUGCGUCUGAUACUGGAUGGCUUGAGUUCGGGAGAGGGAUGCGGAAUUCCAGGUGUAGCGGUGAAAUGCGUAGAGAUGUGGAGGAAUACCAAUGGCGAAGGCAGCCCCCUGGGAUAAUAUUGACGCUCAUGCACGAAAGCGUGGGGAGCAAACAGG